GAUGAACGCUGGCGGCGUGCUUAACACAUGCAAGUCGAACGGUGAACGAGGGAGCUUUCUCCCUCCGGAUCAGUGGCGAACGGGUGAGUAACACGUUAGCAAUCUGCCCUGGACUAUGGGAUAAGCGUUGGAACCGACGUCUAAUACCGGAUACGAGGCGUGGGGGCAUCCCCAAAGCCUGGAAAGAACUUCGGUCCAGGAUGAGCUCGCGGCCUGUAAGCUAGGUGGUGAGGUAACGGCUCACCAAGGCGACGACGGGUAGCCGGCCUGAGAGGGUGACCGGCCGAAAGGGGACGGAGGCACUGCGCGGACUCCUACGGGAGGCAGCAGUGGGGAAUAUUGCACAAUGGGCGCAAGCCUGGUGCAGCAACGCCGCGUGAGGGACGACGUGCUUCGGGUUGUAAACCUCUUGUAGCAGGGAAGAAGCGAAAGUGACGGUACCUGCAGAAAAAGCACCGGCUAACUACGUGCCAGCCGCCGCGGUAAAAC
rnacentral:rRNA from 1 species